AUUGAACGCUGGCGGCAUGCCUUACACAUGCAAGUCGAACGGUAACAGGUCUUCGGAUGCUGACGAGUGGCGAACGGGUGAGUAAUACAUCGGAACGUGCCCGAUCGUGGGGGAUAACGAAGCGAAAGCUUUGCUAAUACCGCAUAAGAUCUACGGAUGAAAGCAGGGGACCGCAAGGCCUUGCGCGAACGGAGCGGCCGAUGGCGGAUUAGGUAGUUGGUGGGAUAAAAGCUUACCAAGCCGACGAUCUGUAGCGGGUCUGAGAGGACGACCAGCCACACUGGGACUGAGACACGGCCCAGACUCCUACGGGAGGCAGCAGUGGGGAAUUUUGGACAAUGGGCGAAAGCCUGAUCCAGCCAUGCCGCGUGUAGGAUGAAGGCCUUCGGGUUGUAAACUGCUUUUGUACGGAACGAAAAGACUCUUUCUAAUAAAGAGGGUCCAUGACGGUACCGUAAGAAUAAGCACCGGCUAACUACGUGCCAGCAGCCGCCGCGG
rnacentral:rRNA from 1 species